rnacentral:rRNA from 1 species
UACGUAGGGUGCAAGCGUUGUCCGGAAUUAUUGGGCGUAAAGAGCUUGUAGGCGGUUUGUCGCGUCUGCUGUGAAAUUUCGGGGCUCAACCCCGAACUUGCAGUGGGUACGGGCAGACUAGAGUGUGGUAGGGGAGACUGGAAUUCCUGGUGUAGCGGUGAAAUGCGCAGAUAUCAGGAGGAACACCGAUGGCGAAGGCAGGUCUUGGCCU